rnacentral:rRNA from 1 species
AACGAACGCUGGCGGCAUGCCUAACACAUGCAAGUCGAACGAGACCUUCGGGUCUAGUUGCGCACGGGUGCGUAACGCGUGGGAACCUGCCCUUAGGUUCGGAAUAACUCCCCGAAAGGGGUGCUAAUACCGGAUAAUGUCUUCGGACCAAAGAUUUAUCGCCUUUUGAUGGGCCCGCGUUGGAUUAGCUUGUUGGUAGGGUAAAAGCCUACCAAGGCGACGAUCCAUAGCUGGUAUGAGAGGAUGAUCAGCCACACUGGGACUGAGACACGGCCCAGACUCCUACGGGAGGCAGCAGUGGGGAAUAUUGGACAAUGGGCGAAAGCCUGAUCCAGCAAUGCCGCGUGAGUGAUGAAGGCCUUAGGGUUGUAAAGCUCUUUUACCCGGGAUGAUAAUGACAGUACCGGGAGAAUAAGCUCCGGCUAACUCCGUG